CGGCGGUGGUAGGGCCGGAGGGGCUCGGCCUCCCUCAAAUGCAAACGGUCGAUACGGCACGGCCAGUAACGCAUGUAAGCUCAUACUAGGAAUAUAGAGCUAUAUGCACGGAAGUAAUGAAAGCCUGCCCUACGGGGUCGCCAUAGCCUCGUAGCCCUUCCGGAGGGAAGGGCGAAGAGGCUAAUCUUUAGAACCGAGUUAGGCCCGGAAGGGAGCAGCUCUAAUAAAGAGUGGCGACGUUCGUAGGUAACAGGCUUGAAUGGAAGUGCAUAUAGCUCUAUAUUCCUAGUAUGGGUUUACAUGCGGGCACCGCCG
rnacentral:SRP_RNA from 1 species